GACGAACGCUGGCGGCGUGCUUAACACAUGCAAGUCGAACGGAAAGGCCCUGCUUUUGUGGGGUGCUCGAGUGGCGAACGGGUGAGUAACACGUGAGUAACCUGCCCUUGACUUUGGGAUAACUUCAGGAAACUGGGGCUAAUACCGGAUAGGAGCUCCUGCUGCAUGGUGGGGGUUGGAAAGUUUCGGCGGUUGGGGAUGGACUCGCGGCUUAUCAGCUUGUUGGUGGGGUAGUGGCUUACCAAGGCUUUGACGGGUAGCCGGCCUGAGAGGGUGACCGGCCACAUUGGGCCUGCGAUACGGCCCAGACUCCUACGGGAGGCAGCAGUGGGGAAUAUUGCACAAUGGGCGGAAGCCUGAUGCAGCAACGCCGCGUGCGGGAUGACGGCCUUCGGGUUGUAACCCGCUUUCGCCUGUGACGAAGCGUGAGUGACGGUAAUGGGUAAAGAAGCACCGGCUAACUACGUG
rnacentral:rRNA from 1 species